CCUGGCGGCCAUAGCGAGCGGGAACCACCUGAUCCCAUUCCGAACUCAGCAGUGAAGACGCUCAGCGCCGAUGAUAGUGUGGGGCCUCCCCCAUGUGAAAGUAGGACACUGCCGGGC
rnacentral:rRNA from 1 species